GUUCAUAGUGCUUCUUCACCCUAGGAAUCUAAAUCAAUGAACGAAAACUGGAGUUUCAACUGCACUAACUUCUCCGCCAUAGUCUUCCUUGCUGUAUCCGAUCGUUGGCCGCGUCAUCUCCAUUUCCCCUGCUUUAACCGAUCAUUCUUCUCCUUCGAACGCGGCCUAGGGCAUAAGCACUGCUUUACUCAAAAGAAAGAGAAGCAUAUGAUUAAGCAUUAUUAGUUUUAAAUAACAAUGGACCUGGACAAGCUGAGACGCGGUGACGCUGCCCUCGACAAAUGUUUAAAGGACUGCGAGCGCAUGAUUCAAAAGAGUCUCAACAAUCCAUUGGUGAAGACCUUGAGGGAACGGAUGGAGAAAGCCGGGUGUCCUGUUAAAGACAAUUUCUUCAAAGCUACGAUCUGUUUAAAUUCUUAUGGUGGUGUUUUUACACCUGGCAAGGGGAUAACCGUGUGCGGAAAUAAGAAACAAAAUCAAGACAAUGUUACGCAGGUGAUAAUUCAUGAGCUAAUUCACGCGUUUGAUGACUGUCGAGUGGCUAACAUGGAUUGGACUAACUGUGCUCACCAUGCUUGUAGUGAGAUAAGAGCUGGUCAUUUAAGUGGUGAUUGUCAUUAUAAACGGGAACUUUUGCGAGGUUUUUUGAGAAUAAAAGGGCACGAACAAGAAUGCAUCAAAAGAAGAGUCAUGAAAUCAUUGGCUGCAAAUCCUUUUUGCGCUGGUUCGACUGCUAAGGAUUCUAUGGAUGCUGUAUGGAAUACUUGUUAUAACGAUACAGCGCCAUUUGAUAAAGCUCCUUAAAGUUUUUGCAACCACUGUUUCCAUUCUUUGGCUUCAUAAUUUCUAAGGUUGAAGGUGACCAUCGUGAUAGAGUUUAUGACACGUUGGAAGAAGUCUCUUGGUGAUUAAAGAGAGGGUACCUGCAAAAUUAUCAUUUCAAUGUUUAAGUUGGCCUAACGUGGAUUGCGGACAAUCGUUGGAUGAAGAUCAACGGUGGAGAUGAAGAUGAAAUACGUGCUCUGACUUGAUGUCCUAGAGCAAAUGAUAGUGUAUGGUGUACAAAAUUGAGCUUGAUCGGCCAACCGCCUCCUGGGAGAACUGGUUGUUGCCACACUCCUCGCUCGGAGAUACAAGUCGGAUUGGUGGACCCUUAUUUAUAACUUUAGAUUCAUUAUGGACCAUAGAAAAACAGUGGUGCACUCAAAACCGUACAAAAAUUAUCGGUAAAUUCUCAACCUUUUAAUUUUCACUCUUUUAUAACUAUCGGGUUUUUCACUCAUGGACGAAAUAUUUGGUAACUUCCUGAUGUUUUCAAAAAUUUGGUAUUAAGCAUACAUUCUGGAUAUUUUGAAAAAUACGGUGCGCCGCAUUUUUCAUAUAUACUACCAGAUUUUUAAGAUUGUUCUACCAGAUAUUUUGUCCAAUUUUUUUCUUAAAUUCUCACAAGGACAGCAUGGGUAUUAUUGAAAUAAAAGGGAUUCCAGGUAUAACCGGGGGUGGAAGGAUAAAACUUCAUGCAAAUGAAUGUAUAUAUAAACAUUAUUAGGUGAUUACUUUGGCUUUCUCUCUUUCUUUUCUAUGUGUGUAUAGUUCUAGCAAGUGGUGUCAAAAUUUGGUUCCACAUGCUUUUAGGGUGGAAUUGUCACAAUUUUAUGUUAUGUGCUUAAUAGGAGUCCAACAAAAAAAAAUAGACGUGGACCUAGAGGUAAUAUGGUCAAGUCACAUUCUAUUUGUUAAGCAUUUGUCAAGCAUUUGAGGAUCUUUGAAUCUUUAUGUUUCAAACACAUAUCAAAGCAAAGAAAGAAGAAACUUGAAUAUAA